GUCACGUUUGAAUAAAGGUAAAGAGGUUAAGGGCAAAUACACUCUGUGGUGAAUUAUGGUGGUUUUUGCUCUCAGAUUGCAUGACAGAGCAUCUGAUGGAUAUUGCUCAACAAUUAUGGUAAGAGCUGGUGGUAAUAGAGUUCAAAUUUGAUUGGUUUGCUUUCCAGGAGUGAUAGUGCACUUGUUUUAAUCAUUCUGCUGGGAAACAAAGGCAUUUGCAAGUUACAAUUGACCAUAUCCAUGGAAGAGCACGAUGCUACAUUCGCCAAAAUUUGCAAGGUUUGGGAAAAAUUGAAGAAUUGACUCCCCUUCAGUUUGUCAGUGUGAAACUGAAUUAAAUUGGCUACACUUCCAAGACAUCCAACAGUGCCCAGUUCUUGGUCAGAUGAAGUUCAAAGUGAGCUAGACCUUGUGCCAGUAGUCUCCAGGCUGAAAUCUUCGAUUUUCAGCUCAUAAAGUCAUAUGAAGACAAGCACAGUCGUGACAGAAUGAUGAGCUUUGGGGCGUCUGACAUCAGAGCGGGCCACGGGUUUUAUUGCAUCCACUGAAAAUGGAUAUUUAACAAAUCGUUGAACACAUUUUUAUGUGGCCGUAGGCUGUGGCAAAGAAGAGCAGCGAAAUUCAUAAGGCUCACUGCUACACGUGGGUGGGAAAUAUAUUUUAUGAAAAAAAAAAAAAAAUCACAGACUGCACUUUCUUCUUUGCAGGGGUUUUAGGAUAGCGAGAGGACAGGAAAUGAUUGGAGGAAGAGAAGGAAAUGGGAACUCAAACUCCAGCAGAUUUGCUGAUGGUUGUUCACCAGAUACACCACUGUCAAACCAGAACAAACAAGCAUGAAAUUAAGGCUUUUCUAAGCCAGGGCUAAUAUAAGAGGCUUUUGCACCGGUAGUUAUAGGAACUCAAUUAUAAGAACUAGUCACCAGGAGGGUUCUCCAAGAACGAAAUUUUCCCCUAGGGCCAUUUUCCUGGUUGCAAAAGGCUUUUGCACCGUGCAGUUCUAGGAACUUGGUUCUGAGUUCAGUUCCCAGAGAACCAGUUUUCUCCUCAGUCCAUUUUCCUGGUUGCACUCACGCCUGCAGCAGGAACUCUGAAGCAGCCUACAGCGACUUUAUGCUAAAAUUUACAAAGGUCAGCAACCAGUGAAUGGGGGACACCGUGAUCGGAGCAGUUUUUGUUGUGUGUCGUGGAUUUCAUGAUAAUGGAGAAGGAAUGUAAACACACAAUUUACGCACCUGAAAGAGCAUGAAAAUCUGACUAAAUCUCUUAUGAUAAUUUGCAAUGUUACAUAUCAUCAAGGCUGAGAAAAGAACACAGUUCUUGGCUAAAUGCCAUUGUUGCUGGUUUACAUGUUUGUGGAGUAAAUAUUUUUACUGAUCCAUAUGACGCCACUGAAUCAAUCAUGAACUGACUUUAACUAACAAAAUUUGAGUGUUUACUAUUGUCCUUUUGCAUUAUCGACACACUGUUUUCCUAUUUAACACUGUAAAGCUGCUUUGAAACAAUCUGUAUUGUUAAAGGGCUAUAUAAAUAAAGGUGAGCUGACUUGACUUGACUUAAAAUCCUUACGAGUUCCCUGCGAGCGUGCAAAAAAGCAA
ensembl:lncRNA